rnacentral:lncRNA from 10 species
GGGGAGGAUGGAAUAGCAGAGACAGCGGCAAACCCUGGAAGAGGAGGAGAUAGGCUUGGGGUGAGGAGGGAAGAGGGCGCUCAGCACUGCAGGCCCAAUUGGGCCACAUUCCUGUCUCAGGGCCAGCCUUGCACUGCCUCUAGGGAGAGGAAGAAAAGUUGGGGUUUCCUUUGCCUUAGGGUGGGACAUCCCUGCGGGAGGAGUGCUCUACUCAAAGUCUUCUGCUUGGAGAGCCCUGGGGAAGAUUAACCCUUUUGUAAACAGGACCUUCUCCAGGGUCUCUCCCUGGGUCCAUCCAACAAGAUCCAGACUCUCAGAUCCCAGCACCCCAAAAUCAACGAGCUGUGCAAAUAGCACUCCGACAGGCUGCAGAGGAGGAGCAGGGUGGGGUUUGGAGAGAAUGGAGCCUGCAGAAAGGAGCGGCAGAAACUGGCGCUGGAAGGCUCAAAAAAGGGGCCCUGGAAAGGACGGAGCGGGGACAGGAAAGGGAAUUCCAAGGGGCAGGAGGAGCUGGGCAGAGGAGCCCGUGUAAACACAGAGUGGCCCAUGCCCAGGAUGAGGGACAGGUGCAGCUUUCAUUCUCUACCUCGCUGCUCCCAGUCCUAGGGCUCGGACUCCCCAGCCUUUCCGCAGCCGCAUCCACCCACCAUGGCCUCAGGGCCGUGACGCGCGUGGGGAGGGAUGCGGCUGGGGGCUGAGCAGCGGCCAUGAGUGUGGACGGGGGAGGGCGGCAUUCCCGUCUGGCAGCUCUGUUUGGGUUUCUGACGGGGCCUCUUCAAACCUCCAGGGGCUAUUCUGGGCCUGUCCGAGUUGGGAAUUCCCCAGAGACCUGGAACUUGCUCUCCACAGCCACAGCCUUGGCCCCGCCCUGUAUCUGUGCUGCCGCCAGUAAGGCUGCCCCUGGGGAGGGCGGAGCCAGAACCUCACAGCCUCACAGGGCAGAGCAAGGCUGGAUUGACGGACACCAGGCCGAGAAGAAACCCUUGGGGUUGGCGGCAGUUCUUAGUGAGGGCAAUUCAUUCAAUCCAGAGCCAGAAACAGGAUUUUAUUUAAAAUUUAUUGUAAUGGGGUCCGCGCAAAAGGAAGGGGUGGAGGGUGGGGUACAUGCAGGGGACACAGGAACACGAUGACAUGGCCAGGGCCACAACUUCUUCUGUCGUGGGGAAGAGGGAUGAAAAGACAAGACCAGGGCUGGAGCUGGGGUGGAAGAGGGGAGGGGGACACUGGCUGCAUUCCCCCGCCCCCAGGAAGCACCUCUAGGCCCUGGACCCCUCGCUCACCCUGGCCCCUAAGACUCCAUCUCUUCUCUGCCUCUGGCCCUCCUGGCUCUUCCUCCUGCUCCCCUUGACUUUUUCCCCUGACAGAUUCUCAAGUAGGACGAUGUUCAGGGCCUGACCCCAACCCCCCAUACCACCUUAUGAAGGUACAACCUUUGCCGGCCCUGCUUCUGCCCCUCCUCAAACCUCACCGCUUUCCCUCUUUGGGACAGCUCUGAUCCCCCUCCUUCCUCUCCUCCCUCCCCCUGGAAAAAAAAAAAAAAGGAAAAGAAAGCACCAACUCCCCGGGGAGGGGCUGCAGACAGCAGGGGGAGAGGACUGGAAGGAGAGAAGAGGACCGUCGAGGGAAGAGGCUCACAAGUCCCUGGGAAGACAGGGCAUGGGCUUACAGAGAGGAGAGGGGGUACGGGCAGUGGCUGCUCGUGUCCUCUGCCACCCCUGCCCACUGUCCAGGGGACUUCAACACAACCGAGGGGACAGGUUUGUGUGGGGUCAGGUCUGACAGAAGAGGAGCAGGAGAAACAAAUCGUUAAAACCUAGCGAAUUCCCCUAAGAAAACAUUUCUUCCUCCUUUCCUUCUGGAGGCUCCUUGGUUGGUAGGGAAAUAGGAGUUGGUGGGAAAAGAGGGGGGAGAGGAGCUUGUACCAAGGGACUCUACUCCAUUCUCCCCUCUCCCCCGCAACCAACUUGGAGCUCACCAGGGUUGGGAGGGAAGUGGCUGAGAGCUCACAGGCACCCCCUCCGCCCCCGAGAGGGAGCCCACAGCUGUGGGAGGGGCUGCUACUGCUGCCGCUGCUGCCGCUGCCGCCGCUGCCGCUGCCGCCGCCAUUGGACAAACCUCACCAGUACCUGCACAGGAGAAACACCACGGAUCACAGCGCGAUCUGAAUGGGUGCGUGCUGGUAAAGCCCGGCCCGUGUACUCCACCUGCCCCAGGAGCUGGAGACAAGACCUUGUGGCUGCGCAGCGGAAACCUUGCCUUGUGACCCCUGGAACUGGCUUUCUUGACUACUCCUUCCCCAGAGCAGCCAAGUUCCACUCCCGCUUUCCCCACACAUUACCAGGAGGUUCAACCUCUCUGGCAGAUCAUCUCUUCCAACCAGGACUUCUUAGAGUCUAAUGAUGUUCAUUCAGGUGUCCCCCCGCUGCUCCCUUGACCUCUUGUAGGAAUCUAGACGCCACGAGCUCUUGGCUACAGCACCCUUAACCCGUAUCCGUGGCAAGGCGUCUGGCCAGGCGCCCACCCUCUGCCCCUGGCCCUCCCGGCAGCCCUCGGCAUGUACCUUUGUUGCAGAGCUCACAGACAUGGUGAGGACCCUGGCUGUGCACCUUCAUGUGGUCCGAAAUAUAAGCCGAGCUCAGCAUCUUGCCACACACGUGACAUGGCACUUUCUCCUCGUGUCGUACUGUGUGCGCCCGCAGCCGAUCCUUCGUGGCGAAAGCUGCCUCACAUUUCUGAGGAGGGGGGAGGGGCGUGGGGGGUGUCACAGGAGAGUUAAAGCUUGGUGGGCUGGGGAGGGGGGAGCAAGAGAUUAAAGGAAUCAGAGCCUUGGGGAUCUUUGAUCUGUAGGAAAUGGGAGUGACAUGAUGAGGCCUUGAAGAAGGGAUGAGAAAAUGGAGCAAAAAGGCAAAAAGAAGAGAGAGAAAAAGGGGGUCUGAGAGACUGACUCAGACAGCUACCAUGAGGAUCAAAAUCAUGAAAACCAAGACAGGAGGAGGCGGGCUUCCU